rnacentral:rRNA from 1 species
AUUAGUUUUUUAAUUGGAGGCUAGAAUGAAUGGUUGGACAAGAAAUAAUCUGUCUUAGGUUAAUAUAUUGAAUUUGACUUUUAAGUGAAAAGGCUUAAAUAAUCUGAAGGGACGAUAAGACCCUAUAAAACUUUAUAUUGAAAAGUGAUAGGUACAAUUUGUUUGAAGGGUUGUUAUUUUAAAGUAUUUGGUUGGGGUGACAAGGAUAAAAUGGAAAGUAACUGUUUUUUUUUUUUACAGUGAUGUUUGGGUUAAUGAUCCUAAAAUGGAUUAAAGAUUAAGUUACUUUAGGGAUAACAGCGUAAUUUUCUUUAAGAGUUCUUAUCGAUAANAAAGUUUGCGACCUC